rnacentral:rRNA from 1 species
CCCUUAGAUGUUCUGGGCCGCACGCGUGCUACACUGAACGGUUCAAUGGGUAAGGUAGUGCGAAAGCAUGACCUAAUCUCGAAAUCCGUUCGUGCUGGGGAUAGAAGCUUGCAAUUAUCCUUCUUGAACGAGGAAUACCUUGUAAGCGUGAGUCAUCAUCUCACGCUGAAUACGUCCCUGCCCUUUGUACACACCGCCCGUCGCUCCUACCGAUUGAGUGUUCCGGUGAGGCUUUGGGAGAAUGGCCUCAACAUGAGUUUAUCGUGUUUUGCCGUUUGAACGUAGUCAAACCUUAUCACUUAGAGGAAGGAGAAGUCGUAACA